rnacentral:rRNA from 1 species
GACGAACCGUGCGAACGUUGUUCGGAAUCACUGGGCUUAAAGGGCGCGUAGGCGGCCCGCCGCGUCCGGGGUGAAAUCCCGUGGCCCAACCACGGAACGGCCUCGGAUACGGGCGGGCUGGAGGCGGGUAGGGGCACCUGGAACUGUGGGUGGAGCGGUGAAAUGCGUUGAGAUCCACAGGAACUCCGGUGGCGAAGGCGAGGUGCUGGACCCGGCCUGACGCUGAGGCGCGAAAGCCAGGGGAGCGAACGGG